rnacentral:rRNA from 1 species
GGAGAAAAGCAGGGGAUCGCAAGACCUCAUGCUUUUGGAGCGGCCGAUGUCUGAUUAGCUAGUUGGUGAGGUAAAGGCUCACCAAGGCGACGAUCAGUAGCUGGUCUGAGAGGACGACCAGCCACACUGGGACUGAGACACGGCCCAGACUCCUACGGGAGGCAGCAGUGGGGAAUUUUGGACAAUGGGCGCAAGCCUGAUCCAGCAAUGCCGCGUGAGUGAAGAAGGCCUUCGGGUUGUAAAGCUCUUUUGUCAGGGAAGAAACGGCUGAGGCUAAUAUCCUCGGCUAAUGACGGUACCUGAAGAAUAAGCACCGGCUAACUACGUGCCAGCAGCCGCGGUAAUACGUAGGGUGCAAGUGUUAAUCGGAAUUACUGGGCGUAAAGCGUGCGCAGGCGGUUUUGUAAGUCGGAUGUGAAAUCCCCGGGCUCAACCUGGGAACUGCGUUUGAAACUACAAAGCUAG